AGUGAACGCUGGCGGCAGGCCUAACACAUGCAAGUCGAGCGGCAGCGCGGGGGCAACCCUGGCGGCGAGCGGCGGACGGGUGAGGAAUGCAUCGGAAUCUACCUCGUUGUGGGGGAUAACCUCGGGAAACCGGGACUAAUACCGCAUACGACCUACGGGUGAAAGUGGGGGACCUUCGGGCCUCACGCGAUGAGAUGAGCCGAUGCCGGAUUAGCUAGUUGGCGGGGUAAAGGCCCACCAAGGCGACGAUCCGUAGCUGGUCUGAGAGGAUGAUCAGCCACACUGGAACUGAGACACGGUCCAGACUCCUACGGGAGGCAGCAGUGGGGAAUAUUGGACAAUGGGCGCAAGCCUGAUCCAGCCAUGCCGCGUGUGUGAAGAAGGCCUUCGGUUGUAAGCACUUUGUUCGGUAGAAUACAUGUCGGUUAGUACCGACUGUGGAUGACGGUACCGAA
rnacentral:rRNA from 1 species